UGUCCUACGGGACGCAGCAGUGAGGAAUAUCGGUCAAUGGGCUUACGCCUGAACCAGCCAAGUCGCGUGAGGGAAGACUGCCCUAUGGGUUGUAAACCUCUUUUGCCGGGGAGCGAGGGCGGGGACGUGUCCCGGCCCGGAGAGUACCCGGAGAAAAAGCAUCGGCUAACUCCGUGCCAGCAGCCGCGGUAAUACGGAGGAUGCGAGCGUUAUCCGGAUUUAUUGGGUUUAAAGAGUGCGUAGGCGGGCUUUUAAGUCAGCGGUAAAAAUUCGGGGCUCAACCCCGUCCGGCCGUUGAAACUGGG
rnacentral:rRNA from 1 species